rnacentral:lncRNA from 1 species
AGUCCACCACGUAAGGACACAGCAAGAAGGCACCAUCUAUGAACCAGGAAGCAAAACAGUCCUCAUCAGGCACCAAUCUGCUGGCACCUUGAUCUCGGACUUCCCAGCCUCCAGAACUGUGAGCAAUAAAUUUGUUGUUUUUAAGCCGCCCAGUCUGUGAUGUUUUGUUUUAGCAUCCCAGACUAAGUAAGGGUUUAAAAGAGGUGAUUAAGUUAAAAUGAGGUCAUCAGGGUGCACCCCAGUCCGACAUAGCUGAUGUCCUUAUAAGAAGAGGAAAUUAGGACACAGACAUAUGCCAUGUGAAGACGCAGGGAGAAUGUGACAUCUGCAAGCCAAGGAGAGAGGCUGCAGGAGAAACCAGCUCUGCUGACACUUUGAUCUCAAGCUCUGGCCACCAGAACUGUGAGCAAAUAAGUGUCUGUUGUUUAGGGCACCCUGUCCAUGGCACCUUGCUCCGAUAGCCCCAGGAAACGAAUCCACAGCACAGGUUUGUGCUCAGAAGCCCCUACACCAGCUGCUGCGUGAUGGAGAACAGGAGUCAAAGCACGGAGGCCGGCAGAAAAUCAAGAGGCCGGUCCUGUGCAUGGGCAAGAGGCCUCAGGGAUAUAUUAGCUGAGGAGGAAGCCGAGGUUGGGAAAGGUGGAGGGACUUGCCCAAGUCACACAAACGACAACUCAGCAGAGCUGAGAAUUGGCACCCAGGGCAACUGGAGUCCAUCCUGAGCUUGUCACUGCUGGGCUCUGAGACCUCCUGGUGAAGAAGGACAGUGGCAGAGACAGCCCGACCCAGAGAAACCCAGCAACGCUACUUUCUAAGGGCAUUUUUCCCUCUCAUUUGGAAUCCUGAGCCUCCUGCUCGUCCUGUAGGCCACACCCAGCAAACAGAGCUGGCUGGGAACUGGGAGAAGAGCUGGAGCAACAGCCUGCAUCCAUUUCCUCUUGCUGCAAUAACAACUGAUCACAAGGUCAGUGGCUUAAACAACACAGAUUUACUCUCUUACAGUCUGAAGUAAGAGCCAAGAUGUCAGCGGGGCCGUGUUGCUUCCAGAGGCCCUAGGGAAAUCCAUUUCCUUGCACUUCCAGCUUCUAGAGGCCACCUGCGUUCCUUAGCUUGUGGCCUCAUCCUCAUUCUUCAAAGCCAGGCAUGUAGCAUCUUCCGGCUCCUCUCUCUCGCUCUGACCUUCCUGCCUCUCUGUUACAAGGAUCCACUUUUGUGGCUAAAAUGGGUCCAUCCUCCCCAGCCUGAAUGUGAAGACCCCCUCCUCCACGGCACCCCAUUGCCCAGGACAAGGAUGGGGCCCAUCACUGCUGCCCAGAGGAUAGGGAGACCCUCUCCAGGUUUCCUGGGAAGGCAUCAAGAUGUUCCCAAGGCUCAAAGAAAAAAGAAAUGGCUGGGCAUGGUGGCUCAUGCCUGUGAUCCGAGCUCUUUGGGAGACCAAGGCAGGAGAACCACUUGAGCCCAGGAGUUUGAAACCAGCUUGGACAGUGAUGGGCAAACCCCAUCUCUACAAAAAAUAAAAAAGUUAGCUGGAUGUGGUGGUGCACACCUGUAGUCCCCAACUAUUUUGAAGCGAGAUCACUUGAGGCCUUGAGGCUGGGAGGUUAAGGCUGCAGUCAGCCAUGACUGCUCCACUGCACUCCAGCCUGGGCAACACCGUGAGCCCUGAUCUCAAAAAUAAAUAAAUAAACAAAUAAAGAUGCUCCCAAGGGUGCUGGGCUCUGUUGGCCCAGGCCUGUAGUCCUGCUCCCUUGCCAGAAGUAAGAGCUGGCCUAAGGGAGAGCUGAAGCUUGCUCUGACGGGGACUCCUAAGUCCCUACAGAUUCUGCAGAUUCUCCUAGGGAUCGGUACCUCCUGGUUUGGGGAAUGGUCCCAGGAGCUGAUCAGUUGGGCCGCACUAGGCUCUGGACCUCCCUUCUGGGGGGAAGAGGAGGGGACUCCAGGGCCUGGGACCAAGGGCAUGUCCAGGGAGCUUGGAGCAGGGAAGCCCUGCCCUGCCCUAUACCUGCUGAGCAAGAAGCAAGAGCAGAAGGACUCUUGCUCCCUCUCUGAGCCUCAGGGGUCUGUUAGGAAGGUGGGGAUACCCUCAAAGCCUCCCUCCUGGGUCCUGUGGGUCAGUGCAACCUGUUGAGCAUGCCCUGCCUAUUUAGAAGAGGCAGGGACGCCAGGGACAAAUCUUGUGCUAAGCAGACAUGGGCCUUCAUGGGGCUUCCAUGGUACCAUGAAGACAGCCAUGGCCCUGCCUGGGUCCUGGAGAGAAGGGGAUGAGAAGGAGAGCUGCUGCUCGCUUGCAGCUCAGCUGACACCCAACACAAGCAAAAAGAUCUUUCUGCUUCCAAGGCACUGAGACACGGAGGUUGUUCAUUACCACAGCACAAUCCAGCAAGAGGUGACCAACACACUCUCCCCAGCUGCAUCUAGUUGCAGCUGGUGCACUCCCUGUAGGCCCUCUUUCUCACUUCUGUCUGCUGUUAGGGACUCUACAGCCCAGGACCCCAGGCUGGAGAAAUCAGCAAGCUAGUUGAUUUCUCCCUCUCCCUCAAUUUCCACAAUUCUUCAGUUGCUGGGGUCACACGACUCUGCAGUCCAGAACUCCUCCCCCUUAGCGAUCGGCUCUUCCCCAACCCCUCCCCAACCUCUCUUCCCUGCAGCCCGAGAACUCCCUGCUUGCUGGGCAUAGUGUCUGCACCCCAAUUAUGGGAGCAGAACAGAGGUCCCUCACCUGGGGUAUGCCAUGAGUAGAACUCAGGACAUUCAUGAACUUGGAUGGAGAAAAAAAAAAUCCCAUCUCCAUUUUCUCUAACAUCUAACUACAGUGUAGUAUUUCCUUCCAUGAUGAUCAUACCCAGCAAAGCCAGAAGUCAGUGGUACCUGCGGCACUGUUACCAACAGAAAUCACAGCUGUCUUCUGAUCACAACAAAGCUGGUGCAGAUUUCUCAAAAUCUCACUCAUCACUCCGUUGCAGACCCGCCGCCACAUCUUGUUAAUGCUUAGUAAAGAGGCACAUUUAUUAUCACAUCACAAAUGUGAUUUAUUUUUUCUUUUCUUUUUUAGAUGGAGUCUCACUCUGUCAACCAGGCUGGAGUGCACUGGCGCAAUCUCGGCUCACUGCAGUCACCUCCUCUCAGGUUCAAGUGAUUCUCCUGCCUCUGCCUCCUGAGUAGCUGGGAUUACAGGUGCAUGCCACCACGCUCUGCUAAUUUUUGUAUUUUUAGUAGAGACGGGGUUUCACCGUGUUGGCCAGGCUGGUCUGGAACUCCUGACCUCAGGUGAUCCGGCUGCCUCAGCCUCCCAAAGUACUGGGAUUACAGGCAUGAGCCACCACACCUUGCCACAAAUGUGGUUUUUAAAUGUGGUUUUUAAAAAUAUCUUGAUAGCCAUAUUUCCAGUGACUCGGUUUCCUGUGUAAUCCUACGUAUUUGUUAUGCAUGUACAAAGAAGACAGGGCAUGAAGGUGUCACCAGAUGCCACAGCAGCCCACAGCACAGAAAAGGUCACAACCACCUACUUCAGAGAAAGGCACUGGGGACCUUGGCUAUGUGGACAAGAACCAGGAGCUUGGGCUUCCCAGGCACAGCAGGGAAGCCUGCAGGGGCCUGACAGGUGGAUAACCUAGUGCCCAAGGCAGGGCUGGGUGGAGGAGAGAGUGGCACCCUCUGAUUGUCUGAGGUCUCUAUCUCUAGAGGACAGUACCACAGAUUGGAAGCCAGGUCUUUCCAGAGUCCCUGUGACCUCCUCUUUCUGCAUGAAACCCAGAUUGAGUAGGAAAAUGUCCCCAGGAGGAAGCAGCCACUGCCCAAGGGAGACAGCUAGAGACUCGCUGGGCAGGCUACAUCCCUGGGCUUCUCUCGGACCCGACAAGAGCCUGUCCAUCCCUUCACCUCCACUAAGAUCAGGGCACCCCAGGAGUCUCGGCAGGGCCACCCCAGGCUCUGCUCUGCCCUGGAAAGGUCCUCGUUUCACACUGACUCAGUUUCAGUUUUGGAAGGAGGUCAGAGGUUGCCUCCAUGUCCCUUCUCCCCACUGGUUCUCUGGAACCCUCCAUCAUAGAUGUCCCUGCCCUUCCUUCCCUGCUCAGGAGCAAAACCCCCAACCCCCAGGAGCUGGUCUCUCUAAGUCCUCUUGGAUCAGGCCAGGCUCAGCCCUGGAGGCCACAGCUCAGGCCCUGAGCCAGCCCAAGGGGCAGGGCGAGGAACCUACAUUGUUGUGUGCCCAGCCCCUUUAAGGGGCCCAUACGGACAAGAGCAAAUUCAGUAGGUUGCGUCAUCCACUCUAUAGUGAUUAAACAGGGAUGGUGGAGAAGUAGAGAAGUGUCAGCUCUGGAACCAGGUGGCCCUAGAUUGAAAUCCUAGCUCUGCUAUUUACCAGCCAGGUGGCCUUGGAUAGGUGAUUUGACCAAUACCGUUCCUCCGUUUCCCCACCUUGAGUGUUAUUGCAAGGAUUAAAUGAGUUACUACAAAGUAAAGUACUAAAUACAUAUCAGCUAUUAUUAUUAUUACUACUACUAUUAUUAUUAUGAGCCAGGAGAUGGGGACUGUGACAUAGGCUGCUGGUCUCUUCUCUCCUCUUCCAUAAGAAUAGUUCACCCCAUCCUUAGCUGGGUGUAUGGCCACCUGGCCCAAAACUACAUUUCCCAGCAUCCCUUGCUGCUAGAUGUGACCAUGUGAUCAAGUUCUGGCCAAUGAGAUGCCAGGAGAAGUGGUUUGGCCCACUUCCUGGGAGUUUUCUUUAAAGGACAGGGGCAAUGCCUUCUCCUUUUCUUCUCCUUUCUGCUGACCAGAAUGUGAGCAUGGAGUCUGGAGCAGGAGCAGCUGUUGUGCACUGUGAGGUUGAAGCCGUGUGUUGAGAAUAGCAGAGCAACAAAGCAAUAGGAGCUGGAGCCCCUAGGGGCCAUGAAGCCCCUACCAGCCCUGGACUGCUUAGAUUUACUUGAGCAAGAAAUAAACCCUUGAUUGUUUAAACCGGUGUGAUUUGAAGUCUGCCCUGUUGGAAGCACAACCAGAUCCUCUUUAACGAGGCACAGCAGAGAGUAACAUGCACAGCCCCUGCCCUCUGGGAAUCACUGUCUAGUUGGGGAGAGAGACAAUAAUCAUGUAAACAAAGAAGGAAGUCGUGGUGGUUAUGAAAAGAGCUAUGAACGAUGGGCCAGAGAACGUGGUGGGGAGUGGAGGAGGCAUGGACCGACCCUGGGAGGACUCUUGAAGAAGGAGGCAGCUAGCUACCAUCUAACUGGGAAGAGCAGGGAAGAGUGUCCCUGCAAAGGGAAUGAAGGAGCACAGAAGGAGGCCGCUCAGCUCUGUGAUUCAGAGCACAGGCCUCAAGAGUCGGGGGUCCUGGGCCCCUGGCCUGGCCCUGCCUCUCCCCCGGUGUGGGACCUGGGCAAGCCACUCCCCUUCCUCUCUCUGAGGCAAAGUGCUCAGCAAGUUCCUGACACAUAGUAGAUGUUCAACGAGAGAUCAUGGUUUUGGGUGGGGUGUGGUGGCUCACACCUAUAAUCCCAGCACUUUGGGAGGCCUAGGCAGGCAGAUAGCUUGAGCCCAGGAGUUCAAGACCAGCCUAGGCAACAUGACAAAACCCCGUCUCUACAAAAAAUACAAAAAUUAGCCAGGUGUGGUGGCACAGGCCUGUAAUCCAGCUACUCAGGAGGCUGAGGUGGGAGGAUCUCUUGAGCCUGGGAGGCAGAGGUUGCAGUGAGCUAUGAUUGUGCCACUAUACUCCAGCCUGGUGACAUAGCAAGGAAGGAGAGAAAGAAAGAGAAGAAAGAGUGAGAAGAGGGAAAGAAGGAAGGGAGGGAGGGAGGGAGGGAGGGGAGGGAAGAAGGGGAAAAGAAGGAAUAAAGAAAGAUUACUGUUUUAGAAGACACAGGUGAAAUGUGAAUGAAAUCAGAGAUGGGGUAAAGCCUGGGAGGGUCUGUUAGGUCUUUAUAGCAGAGGGAGCAUUUAGAUUGGGUCCUGAAGGUUGUAUAGGAGUUUUACUAAGAUAGUGGGAAGAAAGGAUAUUCUAGGGGAGUGGAUCACAGGCCCUUUCUAUUCCCCAUCCACUUUGGGGCCGGCCCCAUCCACCAGGCCUCUUCAGAUCCUAGCUUCCAAUUUCUGUUUCUGUCUCUGGCCAGUCCAUUCAAGGUGGGGUCUGAAAUCCAGGUUGAGAUGUUCUUCUAACCCCAACUAAGCCCUCCUGCUUUUUUUUUUCGUUUUUUUUUUUUUUUCUGGUGGUGGAGGGAAGGGGACAGAGUCUCACUUUAUCUCCCAGGCUGGAGUGCAGUGGCACAAUCUCGGCUCACUGCAACCUCUGCCUCCUGGGUUCAAGUGAUUCUUCUGUCUCAGCCUCCCGAGUAGCUGGGACUAUAGGUGUACACCACCAUGCCCAGCCAAUUUGUGUAUUUUUAGUAGAGACAGGUUUUUGCCAUGUUGGCCAGGCUGGUCUAGAACUCCUGACCUCAGGUGAUCCGUCCACCUCGGCCUUGCAAAGUGCUGGGAUUACAGGCAUGAGCCACCGAGUUUGGGCCCUCCUGCUUCUUUGGGUCCCAUCCUAUGAGUUUCCUCAACUGGGGGAUGGGGACACUGUGGUCUGGAUUCUAUUGGUGCCCAGGUCCUGCAAGACCCCGCUUAACCAGGGCCCUAGCAGACCCCCUGCCACCACUUUACCUCUGCCACAUCAAACUGCCCUUCCCUCAACAGCAAGCCCUUCUUCUGUCUCCCCUCAUAAAAGCCAGCUCACAGUUCCCACUGCCCCCUACUCUUCCCCUCCCUCCACUCACUCUCCUUAGCCCUAACCUUUGCUUUCAGCUCAACCAUGUCACUUCCUCCCAGAAGCCUUCCCCUGAUGUCUGUGGCUGGUUUAGGGCCUUUACGCUGAGCUGCCUGUAGUCUCACCAUCACAGCACAUAUUUGUGGGUGUCUUUGAUUCAUGUCUGUUUCACUAUACAGUGAGCCUAUGCACAGAGGUAUCCACAGCAUUAGCACAGGGCUAUACAUAGUAGGUGCUCAGGAAGGAAGGAGGAGACUUAGUCCAGCCCUCCAGGAAAGAUGAGAAAACCAGCUGAGAAGCUGGGCCCAGGUGGGUCAGGUCUCCUGUCUGCUGCCCCCAGGGGGAGCCCCCCAUCCGGCCUCCCCUCUCCCCUCUGCCUGCUGAACCUGGCAGUGGAGUUGGGUAGGAGUGGGGGAGUGGGAGUUGGUGGUAGGAGCUGCAGAUAGAAUCCCCCAGGGAGGCAGAGGCGAGAACGCUGAGCUCCUAGAUCUCCAGAAGAGCUACAGCUGGCAGGGAAGGAGGCGGAUGAAGCUCACAUCUGGUUCCACCCACCCAGGCUGUGGCUCCAGUGGGCAGCACCGCCCUCCCUGCCCCAGGACUAACCCCUGCCCCCCUCUUCCCUCCUCCCCACACUGUCUGCCUUCCUGGGGAGGCACAGCUGCAGAUUUAGCCGCAGAUUCGUAUGUGUGCAUACAGCCCAGUUGUAGGUGCUGUGUGCGCAUCAGAACACCAACUCCUGAGAGCUGACAUUGAACCCCACCUUGAGACCUGAGGCCAAUUUGCUAUUAUGUUAAACGUACUGAGCCCCUGCUCACCCCGGACAAAUGGACGGCACCUGGGCCUCUCACCUCCCAGGUGGAAUGGAGUUCCAGGUUUGAUCUUGUUGGGAUAGAAAGAUUAAGGAAAGUGGCCGGGCGCAGUGGCUCACACCUGUAAUCCCAGCAUACUGGGAGGCCAAGGCGGGUGGAUCACUUGUCGAGAGUUUGAGACCAGCUUGGCCAACAUGGUGAAACCCCAUCUCUACUAAAUAGAAAAAAUUAGCUGGGUGUGGUGGCAGACACCUAUAAUCCCAGCUGCCAGGGAGGCUGAGGCAGGAGAAUCGCUUGAACCCGGGAGGCAGAGGUUGCAGUGAGUCCAGCCUGGGCAACAAGAGUGAAACUCCGUCUCAAAAGAAAAAAAAUAAGAUAAAGGAAGGAAGAGGGGAGAAGACAGCUGUACAGUGGAGAUGGAUUUAUUGAGAGUAAACCUGAGAAGGGCUCUGGCCGGCAUUACAGCCUGAGGCUUUUUAAAGGGCCCGGUGGGGGAAGUGUGCUUUGAGAGAAGAUCCUAUUGGGAAGGAGUUGGGGAAGGGCUGGCUAGUUAUGACGAAUGGGGACUUCGUUAGGCUCUGUUGCAGUUAGGGCCUAUGCUCUGUUGAAGCUAUGGGCGGGGCUGACAUUUGCGGACAGUUCUGAGACAUGGAAAUUUGAUACUUUAAGAUGGUGGAGACCGGGCGCAGUGGCUCAUGCCUGUAAUCCCAGCGCUCUGGGAGACCAAGGCGGGCGGACCACCUGAGGUCGGGAGUUCGAGACCCGCCUGACCAACAUGGAGAAACCCCGUCUCUACUAAAAAUACAAAAUUAGCCGGGCAUGGUGGCACUUGCCUGUAAUCCCAGCUACUUGGGAGGCUGAGACAGGAGAAUCACUUGACCCCGGGAGGCGGAGGUUGAGGUGAGCAGAGAUUGCGCCACUGCACUCUAGCCUGGGCAACAAGAGUGAAACUCUCUCUCAAAAAAAAAAAAAGAAGAUUGUGGAGUCUCGUUAAGAUGGCAGCACUCUUGUCCUAUCAAUCCAGACUCUAUGGUUAGAUAGGGAGAUGGGCUGGCGUGCUUUUUCUGGCUACUUCCUGCUGAAAGGGGGCCGUAAGAUUGCUGGUUUUGGAUUGACUGGAGGAGUAGCACCGUCUUCAGGUGUUGUUGGGGGGUAGUUUGUGAGAUGGCUGUGAUCCUGUCGGUAAGGAACAUUUAACCAGGAACUGAUUUGGUUGGUUUUCUUGUCGCUCCCUCAUUCUUUGAGCUCUUUCCUUAAGUUUUGGACGGCAUCCCUUACCAAGCCUGGCUGGUUGAGAUAGAAGCAGCAUUCUUCCCCUAGAGAGAGGCAGGAACCUCCCUUCUCUGUUGUAAGGAGGUCGAGUCCUCUCCGGUUUUGGAGGACUCCUCCGGCUGGGGAGUCUAGCUGGUCUUGGAUUCUUACAAGGCCCUUGGCUAUAUCUUCUGAGGAUUCUUGUAGGUCUGUGGAGAGAGACUUAAAAUUUGAGAGUGAAGUGGCUAAUCCCCCAGCUCUUAAACCAAUGCCUGAGCUGAUGCCCAGAACAGCCUAUAAGGCAAUGAUUUGGACUGCCCUUGUCUGUUUGACAUGCUGAAUGGAAGGCACCGGCAGGGCUGGGUUAGGGGGAAUUAUUCCGAAGCCUGGAGAAAGGGGGCCCAGAGUACAGGUGCCUGUCCAAUCGGUUGGGAGGCAGAGGUAAGUGUUGGUGCCAGGCAGGAAAACAGGCCUGCUUCGGAAAUGCAGGUAGAGAUAUGAAGGGAAAAAAGGUGGAUUAAGGGCCUUUGGUUGUUUGUGGUGGGUUCCUGGCUCCAAACAGACAGUGUAGAUGCAAGGAGGCUCUGAUGAUGGUGAAGAUGUGUUGGGAGUCAACCUUUGAACAUUUGAUGCGAUCUGGAGCAGGACCAGUUAUGGAUAGCCACGGAUAGAGAUGUGUGUUGGGGAUAGAGCAAUUAAAGGAGGUAGCCGUGAUGUGGGGGGUGGCUAUAAAGCGAACUGGUUGGAGGAGCAACCCACUGGCUUCUGGUGACACUUGAUAUUCAACCCGGUUAGUUUGAUGGUCUGUAGCGUGCUGGAUAGAAAUGGUUUUGUUACAUUCUCCUGGAAUGAGGGAUCCUAUGGGGCACAUGCCCUGUGUGGCUGAAAAACAGUGGAGCCCAUUGAAGGAGAGGGAUAUGAAGAGUAAGGGGUCCUUCAAUAGAGGGGGCGGGGGGGAGCAUAUUUUGUGUUUUGUUUUGUUUUUGAGACAGGGUCUCGCUCUGUUGCCCAGGCUGGAGUGCAGUGUUGCCAUCUCGGCUCACUGCAACCUCCGCCUCCCAGGUUCAAGCAAUUCUCCUGCCUCAGCUCCCCGAGUAGCUGGGAUUACAGGUGUGCGCCACUGCGCCCGGCUAAAAUUUUGUAUUUUUAGUAGUGAUGGGGUUUCACCCUGUUGGUCAGGCUGCUCCUGAACUCCCAACCUCAAACCAUCUGCGCGCCUUGGCCUCCCAAAGUGUUGGGAUUACAGGCAUGAGCCACAGCGCCUGGCCGUGGGCAUAUUUUGUUAGAGAGUUAUAAUAUGUUUGGAACAGUUUAUUGGCUUGGUUAGCAAAUUGGGUAGGGUAAUUGCCAAGUACAGUGUCUGCCCUUUCAAAGCAGGAAGACCGCUUUUGGAGUUUAUAAGUCAGGAAUGUUUUUUGAGUUAACGUUGUAGGGAGAAGCGCCGAUUGGGCUGUAUAUGCCGACAAUGAGGAGAGUGAUAGGCACAUCCAACAAUUAUGAGCAUAGGAAGGAUUAGCUUGCCACAGCAGGGACUGAGUGAGAUUCAAAGAAAGUUCCAGAUGCUUAGCUUUGAGGAGUGACUUGAUGCGGGCUGCGGAUCCCAUUGUAGUGAGGAAAGGUAAACUUAGGGGAGAGGGAACAUCAGGCAGAAGGAAAAGAAAGUUAUUUGGGUGGGGGAGAAAUCCUAGGAGGUACCUUGAAGCCAUAAGUCCAACAGAAGGUUAAAGGUUUGAUUAGGGGAAACUAGAGGCUCCUCGUGAGGGGACCAGGUAAUGUCUGAGCUAAGGAGUGUGAGGAAGAGGUGAAAAUUGUGGGGAGAGGGCAACAUAGAAGAUUGAUAGGCUUUUAUUUAUUUUUAUUUUUAUUUUUGAGACGGAGUCUCUCUCUGUCACCAGGCUGGAGUGCAGUGGCACGAUCUUGGCUCACUGCAACCUCCAGCUCCCAGGUUCAAGCAAUUCUCCUGCCUCAGCCUCCUGAGUAGCUGGGAUUACAGGCGCGGACCACCACAACCGGCUAAGUUUUGUAUUUUUAGUAGAGACAGGGUUUCACCAUGUUGGUCAGGCUGGUCUCAAACUCCUGAUCUCGUGAUCCACUUGCCUCGGCCUCCCAAAGUGUUGGGAUUACAGGCAUGAGCCACCGCGCCCGGGUGAUAGGCUUUUAAUAGAGAGGUUUAGGUGGAAGUUUCUUCUUUGGGAAUCCUGGUUAGGCAGACAGAUGUAGGCCCCGUGGAAACACAGGAAAAGGUUGAGAGGGUUUUAUUCUGAGUUGGUGGGGGGCUGGAUGGUUUCUUUGAGGGAUGAGGGGUGGAACAAAUUAGGAAUUCCCUUGAGCUUAGUGGCUGUGGGGUAGCCAGAAUAAUCUAAUAAGGGCCAUCCUGCUUGGGCUUAAGAGGGUUGCUGGGGGUUUCUCUUGGGGUUUGGAGAACCUAGUCUCACUGAUGGAGAGAGGGGUUGUCUGUGCUUGGGAGUGGUUGGGGUAAGGUGCAGUUCACACAUUUCCAAAGGAAACUGCGGACUGCCUGUAGGAGUGGAGUAACAAGGGAAUCGGGGAGUGAAGGGGCUUUUUUGAGAUGGCGUAAAAGAGGCAAGAGGUCUCCUGUACAUGAAUUAAAUGCACUAAUCAUUAGGGGUUUGCGAGGGAGAGCCCUAAUUUUGAGAAGGGCGAGGGGCAAUAAGGUGGUCCAGUCUUUGUGGGUUUGUAAGGAGAAUUUUGUGAGAGUAUUUUUUAGAAUGCAAUUCAUCCUUUCUACCUUCCCAGAAGAUGGAGAUCAGUAAGGAAUAUGGAAUUUCCAAGUAAUAUGAAGGGCUUUUAUAAGAUUUGGGGAGGACAGGCCUGGUGUCUCAUGCCUGUAAUCCCAGCACUUUGGGAGGCCAAGGCAGGUGGCUAAAAUACUAAAGUAUUUUUUCGACUAAAAAUACAAAAAAUUAUCUGGGUGUGAUGGUGGGCACCUGUAAUCCCAGCUACUCAGGAGGCUGAGGCAGGAGAAUCGCUUGAACCCGGGAGGCAGAGGUUGCAGUGAGCUGAGAUCGCGCCAUUGCACUCCAACCUGGGCAACAAGAGUGAAACUUGGUCUCAAAUAUAUAUGUGUGUGUGUGUGUGUAUGUGUGUGUGUGUGUGUAUAUAUAUAUAUAUACACACACACACACAUACACAUACACACAGAAAGUAGUUUGGCGGCCACAGUAGAGGCUCUUUUAUUGGUGGCAGGGAGGCUUUCAGGGGGCAUGAAACCAUGUAUCUAGCUAAAAAUACAAAAAAUUUCCAGACGUGGUGGCACACGCCUGUAGUCCCAGCUACUCGGAAGGCUGAGGCAGGAGAAUCGCUUGAACCCGGGAGGCAGAGGGUGCAGUGAGCCAAGAUCGCCCCACUGCACUCCAGCCUGGGCGACAGAGGACAGAGCGAGACUCCAUCUCAAAAAAAAAAAAAAAAGAUAUUGGGGAAUUUCUUGAUUUGCUGAGGUCAUUCUGGCUCAUUUGUCAGCCUUGCGAUUUCCUAAGGAAAUAUGACCCUCAUUUGAUUGGUGUUCCCUGCAGUGAAUUAUUGCCACUUUUUGGGAGCAAGGCAGCCUGUAACAAAUGGCGAAUGAGCUUUCCAUUAACAAUGGGGGUUCACUUUGUGGUGAGGAAACCGCGUUCACUCCAAAUUUGGGCAUUGGAAUGAAUGAUGUUCUAUGCAUAUUUGGAGUCAGUGUAAAUAUUGACCUGUUUUCCUGCUGCUAGGGUUAGGGCCCUGGUUAUGGGCCUACCUGCUGGGAGGAUGUGCCUGCUGGUAAGAAAGAGGCUUCUAUGACUCUUCAGGGAGGGAGGACGGGGGUGUCAUCACGGUAUCCUUCCAUGAUAAUAUACCCUGCUGAGAAAGGAGGAACUCUGGACACACUGCUGUCUAGAAACCAGCCUGGAGCUCCCUUUAUAGGUGCGUUGGUUAAAUGAUGGAACGUGAUAAGGGAGUCAUCAGUGAUAUCAGUGCAGGAGUGCAGGGGUGACUCUAAGAGGGGUGUUGAGGGUAAAAGGGUGGCGGUGUUAGGAGGGGAGCAUUUACGGAGGGAGAGAAAGGAUUGGAGAAUGGCUGAGUGCAGGGUCUGGAUGCGGGAAGGGGAUACUGUUUGAAGUGCCCUGUGGCUGAGCAUAUCUUGCAAGUCAUGUGAUGAAUAAACUUGCAGGGGUUUAUAGAAGAUGAAAUUUUGUGCCUCUGGGAUAAUUAAAGAGGCUGUGGCUAAAAUGUUUAGGCAAAGAGGCCAACUUUUUUUUUUUUUUUUUUUUUGAGACGGAGUUUCGCUCUUGUUGCCCAGGCUGGAGUGCAAUGGCGCGAUCUCGGCUCACUGCAACCUCCGCCUCCCAGGUUAAAGCGAUUCUCCUGCCUCAGCCUCCCUAGUAGCUGGGAUUACAGGCAUGUACCACCAUGCCCGGCUAAUUUUGUAUUUUCAGUAGAGAUGGGGUUUCUCCAUGUUCGUCAGGCUGGUCUCGAACUCCUGACCUCAGGGGAUCUGCCCGCCUCGGCCUCCCAAAGUGUGGGGAUUACAGGCAUGAGCCACCGUGCCCAGCCGUGAGGCCAACUUUUAUAGAUAAGAUCUAGCUGCUUGAAGAAGUAUGCAACAGGUUGAAGAGAGUCCCCUGUGGGCUGGGCCAAAAGGCCUAAAGCUCCGUUUUGGGAGCUGUGUAAGUAUAAAUGGAAAGGUCGGCUGGGGUUAAGGAGACCCAAAGCAGGGGCCCAGGUUAGAGCUUGUUUUAAGCAGGACAAAGCAUGAUGAAGUUCAGGAGUAGGGGCAAUAAGCUCAGCGAGGUUUCCCUUUGAGGCCUCAUAUAAUGGCGUGGCAAUCACUACAAAAUUGGCAAUCCAUAGCUGGAAGUACUCCAUGAGUCCCAAGAAAGAGAGACAGUCUCUUUUGGUAUGAGGGAAUAGGAUGCUCUGGACCAUCUGCUUGUGUGUUGAGGGAAUUUCCCAGGUGGCAGGGGUAAUCAUGAGGCCCAGGUAUGAAACCUUGGAGGAGGCUAAUUGGGCCUUUUUUUUUUUUUGGACAGCUGGUAGCUGUACUGGGUGAGGGAGUUUAAAAGGGUAACAGUAUGCUGAAUAGAGAGUUCCUCUGAAGGGGAACAGAGCAGCAGAUCAUCUACAUAGCGAAGGAGGAUGGGAGGUGUUAGGCAAAGUUUAGAGAGGUCUGCUUGAAGGGCUUGUCCAAAAAAGUUGGGGGGCUGUGUCUGAAACCCUGGGGGAGGACAGUCCAUGUGAGCUGUUGGGAAAUGUUGGUAUCUGGAUCCAUCUGGGUAAAAGCAAACAGGUUUUGGGAAGAAGGGUAUAGAGGUAUAGUGAAAAAGGCAUCUUUUUUUUUUUUUUUUGAGACAGAGUCUCGCUCUGUCGCCCAGGCUGGAGUGCAGUGGCGCAAUCUCGGCUCACUGCAAGCUCCGCCUCCCGGGUUCAUGCCGUUCUCCUGCCUCAGCCUCCUGAGUAGCUGGGACUACAAGCGCCCGCCGCCAUGCCAGGCUAAUUUUUUGCAUUUUUAGUAGAGACGGGGUUUCACCGUGUUAGCCAGGGUGGUCUUGAUCUCCCAACCCCGUGAUCCGUCCGCCUCAGCCUCCCAAAGUGCUGGGAUUACAGGCGAGAGCCACUGUGCCUGGCCUGAAAAAGGCACUUUGAGGUCUAGUACUGAAAAAUGACUGGUAUGAGGGGGGAUUCUGGAGAGGAGUGUAUAGGGAUUAGGAACGACUGGGUGUGUAGGGAUGACAGCAGAAUUGAUUUGACGAAGGUCCUGGACAAGCCGGUAGGACCCAUCCAGCUUCCGGACAGGGACAAUAGGGGUGUUAUGAGGGGAAUGGGUUGGAAUGAGGAUGUUGGCAGCUAACAGUUGGGAGAUGAUGGGCUUGAGUCCCCGAAGCCUCUCAGGGCUGACAGAAUACUGUUGGACUGUGAUCUAAUGAGAAGGAUCCUUUAAUGAAAUUUUAAUGGGGAGUGGUGGGCCGCCACGACUGCAGAAUUUGUGUUGACCAAACAAUAGGAUUUGUUUGAGUUAUAAUGCUAAGGUCAGGUGUUGGCUCCUUAACUUCAGGUAGGGAGAAUUUGGGUUCCUGGCAUAAAAAUAAGUAGGGAUGGCUUUGGCCAAGAGCCCAAAGGUGGAGGAAGCCACGCAAUUUGUGCAGCAGGUCUCUACUUAGAAGAGGCAUGGGGCAAUGUGGGAUUAACAGGAAGCAAUGUAUGAGGGUGACGUCCCGAAAGGAACAAUAUAAGGGGAGUGUUUGGAGGGGAGUUUUCUGAAUGCCCUUUAUGCCAACAACAGAGAUUAAGGAGCAAAUUAGAGGUGUGGGGAACAAUCUUGGCAGAGGGAAGGACGUGAGCAAAGGUAAAUGAAGGAACUUCUUGCCAUUUGCCAUUUCGAUAAAUGAAGUUAUCUAAAUCCCUUAAAAUUUGGUGGUCGAAUGUGCCGUUUUCAGGCCAACGGUUGCCCUUGGCCUGAGGCCAGGCAGUAUUGCAAAAGAAUAUAAGGCACUUUACUUUAAUGUCCCCCUUUAUACCGAGUUUAGAAAGGUUACAAAUCAGGAAACCUAGAGGGGAGGAAGGAGUAAUUUGAGAUUGAUUGGAGCCCAUUGAGAUUUGGCAAGGAAAGGCCAGGGGUGUCUGCCGUUAGACUAGGCAUCCCCAGAAAAAGGGCAGAGACGGGAGAUCCUCUCAAGAGGAGGUAGACUGAGGGGAAAGGUCAGGCAUCCCUGAACGUCACCCUCCCAAGGUCUCUGAUGGUCCUAAUGGUCCCCAGGAGACCGGGACUGCGGACCUGAGUCUCCUGGGUAGCACAGGAGAGACAGGUGGGGGCAAACCUUACUAAUUAGUGUCUGGUGUUGGAUGUUUUAGAAGGAACCAGCAAAGGACCUCUCAAACUGGAGCCGUUGGGGAGAAACAGAAAGUAAAUUGCCCAGAUCCAGCGGUUGGAGGCAAAAUUCUGGGUCCGGGAGUUUUGAGAACCCAUCCAGGGGUAGCCCUGGCCACAGCCUCGAAGUCCUCUCCUGUCACUCAAUUACCUCAUGCAAAUCACUUUUAAAAAAGAGGAAGAGUUGAGGGACUAGGCGGGAAGCCAGAGAACCCUCAGGAUCCAGGAAUUAGCCAGGGAUGAGCUGUCGGGGCCCACUGCUUCCUGGGUUGCAAGAGUUCUCAGCCCCAAGACUCAUCCCGGGGUUUGGCAGCAAGUAUUGGAAUAGAAAGAUGAAGGAAAGAAGAGGCAAGAAGGCAGUUCUACAGUGGAGAUGGAUUUAUUAAGAGUAAACCUGAGAAGGGCUUCUGGCCAGCAGGCUCAGGAGCAAGCUUCUCAUAUAGCCUGAGGCUUUUUAAAGGGCCUGGUUGGGGAAGUGUGCUUUUUUUUUUUUUUUUUUGAGACAGAGUUUCACUCCUGUUGCCCAGGCUGGAGUGCAAUGGUGGGAUCUCAGCUCACUGCAACCUCCGCCUCCCAGGUUCAAGCAAUUCUCCUGCCUCAGCCUCCUGAGUAGCUGGGAUUACAGGCGCCUGCCACCACACCCAGCUAAUUUUUUUGUAUUUUUAGUAGAGACCUGGUUUCACCAUGUUGGCCAGGCUGGUCUUGAACUCCUGACCUCAGGUUAUCUGCCCACCACAGCCUCCCAAAGUGCUGAGAUUACAGGCAUGAGCCACCGCGCCCAGCCCGGAAGUGUGCUUUGAGGAAAGAUUCUAUGUGGAGGAGUUGGGGAAGUGCUGGCUGGUUGUGACUGUUGGGGACUUUGUGAGGUUCUGCUGCAGUUACAGCCUUAUGCUCUGUUGAAGCUAUGGGCAGGGUUGACAUUUGCGGACAGUUUUGAGACAUGGAAACUUGAUACUUUUAAGAUGGUGGAGACUUGUGAAGAUGGCGGCACUCUUGUCCUAUUAGACACAGCCUGUUGGGGGCCCCUCUCUCUUGGCUCCUCAGGGGCCAGCAUGGCCACCUCAAUCCCACCAGCUUCGAGACCUCAACUUCUCUGUGGGCCUCAGUGUCCUCAUCUGCAACUUGGAACAAAAACUCUGUCCUCAGCCAGCAGCCCUGGGGAGCUGGGAGAAACCAGGCAAUCAGCCCACUAGGUGGGCAGAGGAGAGGGUUCCAGGAGACAGCUGCAAAGCCUCCUGGGACUCUGAGGACAGAGAACCCUGGGGGUGGGGCUGGAGCUUUCUAGGGGCUGCCAGUGGUUGAACCCAAGGGCCGAGGCGGCAGCUGGGGGCCCUCUGCAGUGAGGAGGAGGUCCCGGCUGGAGGUCGGGAGAGGGGUCACCCAGCUUUGCAAUCUGAUGGGCAGGGAGGAGAAAGAGGCUAUGGUGCGCCUGCAUGGGUGCAUUGGAAGCUAUAAGGCUCCAGUGCGCGGGGCCGAUGGGCUCUAGGACCCUGGAAUUCUCUCAGCACCCGCCCACACACUGACCAGUCCCCAAGGCUUAUUAGUAUUGUGAUCGCUAUUAUCGAAGGACCCCCUCUCCCUGUCUCCUGCGCCCACCCACAGCUGUCCAGACUGGGGGAUGCGAGGAUGCCCUCCAGGUGUCCACAGCUGGGGUUCUGGGCCAGGGAUUACCAGAGUCUGAGCAGCCUUGGGGGACGCUGAGGCAGGGGGCCGGGGAGGAGGGCACCCGGGAAGAGGGUAGGGCAGGAGGUUUAUGGGAGGCCCCACAGGAAGAGAGGACGCCCUUCCCUCCCAUCCCCCGCAGGGAGGAGCUGAGGCUGGAGCCUGGGAGGGGAAGAUGGGAAAGGCGCUCCUGGCAGAAGGAACAGCGUGUGCUAAGGCCGGAGUGAGGCAGUAGCUGAGAAGCAGUUCUGUCUGGCCAAGGGGCCAGGAGGGAGGAAGAAACGGGUGGCGCGCAGGGCACCCACGGCAGGGCCUUGAAUGCCGGGAUAACUCAUUCCUCGCUCCUAGCGCGGGGCUGGGCCGCCCUUGGGCCCUGGGGAGGGCGUCAGGCGGGACCCUUUGUCCCUCCCUCCGCCCCCUCCCCUUCACUCUCCCCUUUCUCCCCCUCCCGCCCCUCCCCUCCUCCUCCCCGCUCUCCCCGGCCCUGUCCCGGGAAGGCUGGACCGGCCCGCGGCUUGCCCUUUCAAGUCGGCCUCCCGGAGUCUCCGGAGCCGUCCGAGCGCUGGGGCCGCUGGCGCGGACUUCAAAGCCCGCCGCCCCCAGCCAGAUCCGGUUGCGGGUGGGGCGGGCGAGCUGGGAGGGAGGCGGGUUUCGGUGGAUUCCCCUUUCAUCCCGCGGCUGCAGCCGGGCGCAGACCUCGGGGAGGCCCGGCGCGUCCCCGCUGGGCAAGUCCCUGCAGGGCAGCGACCGGGAACGGAGGGCUGGGGACGCCACGAGGCCGCGCCGCAGGGCGGGGGAGGCCUGAACCCAGACUGGGGGCUUCGGACCCGCCUGCGCUGUGGGACCUCAGGCCAGCGCCUACCUGUCGCUGGGCCUCAGCUUUCCUGAAUGCCCUACUCCCUGCCCAGGACUCCUCUGGGGAGGGGCAUUCGGGAACAUUCAGUGGCCCUUGGACAGCUGAGAUAGGAACAGGAAGCUAAGCUGGGAGCCCGGGCUCUCCUUGGGGUACCUGCCCGACCCCACCCAUCCCACCGGAGAGGAACCGCUUCCUGCAUCAGCCAAGCCCUGCCCGCAGUGUAACCCGUGGUCCAGCCUGGCCCUCUCUGGGCCUCAGCUUCCUGGAAGGCUGAGGGGGUGGCGGCUGAAUGCCCUCCCUCCGGGUUGAGGUGUAGCGCAUUCCUUCUUGCCGUCCUGUUUCCCGGUCCCUAAAGUAAGGGUGGAGGGAAAUGGCUCUCCCUUUCUGGUGUAACCAUAAGGAAGUGGCUGCCUGACAUUCUGUAGCCGUCCGCGUGCCCCAUCCAAGCCCCACAGAGCCCUGUGUGUAGAUUAAGAACAUCCUUUUUUUAGGUGAACAGCCUGAGGCAGAGGGGGUGUCGCUUGCCCCAGGUCUCAGCUGGCAGGAAAACUGGGACUUGACACAAAGUUACUUGGGCUUUCCUCCACCUUCCUCCCUGCCCGUGGUCCCCACUGAUUGCAAAACAGUCAUAGGGGAGGUGAGUCCAGGCUGGGAAUUUGGAAAGCAGACACUGACAUAACGUGGGGUGCAGGCGCAGGAGUAGUAUCACCCCCGCUUUACAGACCCAGAAACGGACACCGAGAGGUUGCGAAGCCAGACAAGGGGCAGAGCUGGGUAUUGACGCAGAUUUUUGGGGCCCCAGAGACUUGAGGUUUAGCCACUGCCUCUGGGGUGAGAGGGGCAGGGCACUUACUGUGUGUCAGGCCCAGGCUGGGAAGCAUCUUGAUCAACACAAGAACCCCAGCUGGGAGGUGGUGGUGUAGGAAAGGGGUCCAGAUCCAGACCCCAAGAGAGGGUUCUUGGAUCUCUCGCAAGAAAGAAUUCAGGGUGAGUCCAUAAAGUAAAAGCAAGUUUAUUAAGAAAGUAAAGGAAUAGGCCGGGCAUGGUGGCUCAUGCCUAUAAUCCCAGCACUUUAGGAGGCCGAGGUGUGCGGAUCACGGGGUCAAGAGAUCGAGAUCAUUCUGGCCAACAUGGUGAAACCCCAUCUCUACUAAAAAAUACAAAAAUUAGCUGGGCGUAGUGGUGCGCGCCUGUAGUCCCAGCUACUCGGGAGGCUGAGGCUGGAGAACAGCUUAAACCUGGGAGGCGGAGGUUGCGGUGAGCCAAGAUCACACCACAGCACUCCAGCCUAGCAACAGAGCGAGACUCCGUCUUAAAGAAGAAGAAGAAAAAAAAAAAAAGUAAAGGAAUAGGCCAGGCACGGCGGCUCACCCCUGUAAUCCCAGCACUUUGGGACGCUGAGGUGGGCAGAUCACCUGAGGUCGGGAGUUUGAGAUCAGCCUGGCCAACAUGGAGAAAUCCCAUCUCUACUAAAAAUACAAAAAUUAGCCAGGCAUGGUUGCAUGUGCCUGUAAUCCCAGCUACUCAGGAGGCUGAGGCAAGAGAAUGGCUUGAACCCAGGAGGCGGAGGUUGCAGUGAGCUGAGAUCGCACCACUGCACUCCAGCCUGGGCGACAGAGCAAGACUCUGUCUCAAAAGAAUGACUACACCAUAGAGCAGCGCUGAGGGCUGCUGGUUGCCCAUUUUUAUGGUUAUUUCUUGAUGAUAUGCUAAACAAGGGGUGGAUUAUUCAUGUCUCCCCUUUUUAGACCAUAUAGGGUAACUUCCUGUCAUUGCCAUGGCAUUUGUAAAUUGUCAUGGCGCUGGUGGGAGUCUAGCAAUGAGGACAACCAGAGGUCACUCUGGUUGCCAUCUUGGUUUUGGGGGGUUUGGCCAGCUUCUUAACUGCAACCUGUUUUAUCAGCAAUGUCUUUAUAGCCUGUAUUUUGUGCCGACCUCCUAUCUCAUCCUGUGACUUAGAAUGCCUUAACCGUCUGAGAAUGCAGCAGCCCAGUAGGUCUUGCCUCAUUUUACCCAGCCCCAUUCAAGAUGGAAUUGCCCUGGUUCAGACACCUCUGACAGUGAUACGACCAUUGCGCAGGCCUGGGACUGAGACACAGAGAAGUGAAUGGUGAGGCCAGGCACAGUGGCUCAUGCCUGUAAUCCCAGCACUUUGGGAGGCCGAGGCGGGUGGAUCACCUGAUGUCAGCGGUUCGAGACCAGCCUGGGCAACAUGGUGAAACCCCAUUGCUACUAAGAAUACAAAAAUUAGGCCAGGUGCAGUGGCUUACGCCUGUAAUCCCAGCACUUUGGGAGGCCAAAGCAGGUGAAUCACCUGAGGUCAGGAGUUCAAGACCAUCCUGGCCAACAUGAUGAAACCCUGUCUCUAAUGAAAAUACAAAAAUCAGCCACUCGUGGUGGCAGGCACCUGUAAUCCCAGCUACUCUGGAAGCUGAGGCAAGAGAAUCACUUGAACCGGGGAGGUGGAGGUUGCUGUGAGCCGAGAUCGCACCACUGCACUCCAGCCUGGGCGACAGAGCGAGACUCCAUCUCAAAACAAACAAACAAAAAAAUUAGCUGGGCGUGGUGGCACGCCCCUGUAAUCCCAGCUACUCUUGAGGCUGAGGCAGGAGAAUCACUUGAACCAGGGAGGUGGCAGUUGCAGUGAGCUGAGAUCACACCACUGCACUCCAGCCUGGCGACAGAACGAGACUCCAUCUCAAAUAAAAAGUAAAUGGUGGGCCCCAGUCUCACCAGAAGUGACUGAGUCAGAAUUGGAACCCAGUCUGCCUGGCUCCUAUGCCCCUGCACUUGAUUUAGAGCUUUGCCCAAAGAGAGCUGUACUGCUUACCCACUCGCACCAAACACUGCAUGGUUCCAGAGCCCUGGAAGGGUGUCUCUGCGUGGGGCCUAAUCUGCCAAGAGGGGGCAGUUUUAACGGGCUUCCAGCAUGAUGCUGAAUGUACCCAGGCUGGUGGGCUGGGACAAGUGCCCAGGUAUCUAGCAGAUGCCGCCCCAGCCCAGAGAUUUAAAAUUCCUCCCUGGAAAAAUCAGAUAAUCAAAGAAGUCAAAUACCGUGAAAUGAAUGUGAUCCCUGCCAGAAGCCCAGAGGGAACAUCUGAGAAACACUGCAUUGCAAGUGCAGGCACGGGACCCUCCCCCUUGCCGUAUAGGCAGGGAAACUGAGGCACGGUAUGUGGCAGGGAGAUGUUCACAGAUAGGAUCCCCAUCCCUUUGCGCAGCGUUCAUUCAGGGCCUUCUCUGUGGCAGGCUCUGUGUUAGGGACCUGUCCAGUCUCUGCAUUCUUGGAGCUCAGGGGCUACUGAGUAUGGUCCAUGUGUGCCAGCAAUGCCACCACUGUUCCGUCCUGAUUGUGGUAAGUGCCACACAAGGAGAACUGUGGGGAGCUGGUUUCAUUUGGAAGAGCUUCCCUGAGGAGGUGACAUCUGAGAUCUGAUGUUAAGUGGGAACCCGUGAAGCUGGUAGGAGAGCAUUCUGGGUAGAGAGGAGGGCAUGUGCAAAGGCCCUGGGGUGUGAAGGAGUUUGGCUCAGGAGCUAAAGGAGAAGCCAGAGGCCUACUGCAGAGUGUGAGGGGAAGCACAGAGGGGGAAGAAGGAGAGAGGAGGGAGGAGGCAGAGGGGCCGGGGCCUUGGGGCUCAGAGGAGUCCCCAGGACUUCAGUGCUGGGGUGCCGGGGGGAGGGACAAGCAGGGGGAGUCAAGGCUGGCAACCAGGAAUCCUGCCGGACGGACGUGCUCAGGGACACCCCAGGACUGCAAACCCCAGGAGAGUCCUGACUGGGAACAGGAGAGCAGAGGGAGCGGUCUCCAGUCUUGCUCUAAAGCCGGCUCUGUUCUCUCCUAAAAGAAAAAGGAGAUCAAAAGGAAAAUUUGCAAGUUAGAUUUACCCUCAAUUCUAUUAAACCACCAAAAACUGUCGAUAAAUAAUAUUAAGGUCUUUUUUUCUUUUUGAGACGGAGUCUUUGUCACCCAGGCUGGAGUGCAGUGGCAUGAUUUCGGCUUACUGCAACCUCCGCCUCCUGGGUUCAAGCAAUUCUCCUGCCUCAGCCUCCCAAGUAGCUGGGAUUACAGGCAUGAGCCACCCUGCCCGGCCCAUAAUAUUAGGGUCUUAACUCCACAAACGCUAGAAAUUUCAGCCUGGAAGGCCCAUGGAGGCCAUUCCCUGUCCUCCCAGCAUUGGGGAUGCGGGAGGGGAGCCAAGAGGCUCUGGGUGGGAAGGUCUGGCCGGGUCUGUUCAGCCAGUGGGCCCCUCCCCAUCCUUCUUGGGCAGGCCCCCAGGUAGACCCAGGGGUGUCCCCAGGUGUGGUCUGGUCCUUCUCAGAAGUGCAGUGUUUACAGGGAUGGGCUGUUCCUCUGGUAGGAUGGACAGCUGCUUGGAGGAGGGUGGUGAACACCUUUUUUUUUUUUUGAGAGGGAGUCUUGCUCAGUUGCCCAGGCUGCAGUGCAAUGGCGAAAUCUCAGUUCAUUGCAACCUCUGCGUCCCGGGUUCAAGCGACCCUGUCACCUCAGCCUCCCGAGUAGCUGGGAUUACAGGCACGCGCCACCACGCUUGGCUAAUUUAAAACAUAUAUUUUUAGUAGACAUGGGGUUUCACCAUGUUGGCCAGGCUGGUCUGGAACUCCUGAGCUCAAGUGAUCUGCCCGCCUCGGUCUCCCAAAGUGCUGGGAUUACAGGCGUGAGCCACUGAGCUGGCCAGGGGUGAGCAACUCUUAUUCCUUGUCUGGAGAAGGAGGGAAAGAGAGUGGAGGGAGAGGAAGGACAGGGAGGAGGAGGGAGUCAGAAGAGAAGAAAGCGGGAAGGAGGAGGAGAGAGAGAGGGAAAAACAGAGAGAAGAAGGGGAGAGAGGAGGCAAGCAGCAGGGAGGGAGAGAAGGAAGAGAGGAAGGGGGAAAGGAAAACAGACAGGAAGGAGGGAGGGAGGAAGGAGGGAGGGAGACAUGAGGGAGUUAAGGGGGAGGGAGGGAACAAGUGGAGAAAGCAAAGGAGAGAGAAGGGAGGGAGGAAGGAGGGGUAAGAAGGGAGGAAGAAGAAAAUUAGGGGGUAGAAGGAAGGGGGCAAGAAUGUGGAGGGAGGGGAGAGAUGAGGGAGGAAAAGGGAGGAGAGAGGAAAGGAGAGAGGAGGAGGGGGAGAAUGAGGGAGGGGAGGAGAGGAGAGGGGAGAGGAAGAGGGAAGGGGGAGGAGGCUGUGCCGAGUGGCAGUCACUGGGGAGGGGUGUCCCCACUGUCUGUCACUUCCCUCAUAAUGGUAUCAGCUCCUCCCCGCUGCUGGCCUUGGGCCAGGGAUCUCCGGGUGGUGCCCACCUAAUCCUCACAAAAGGACUCGACCUCAGUCACCCAGCUCACCAGACCCCAAGCCUGGGCAGUUCACCUGAGGUCUUCCACCCCAGGCCCUCCCUGGGCCUAACCCACGGGUUGACUCAGGAGCCAGGUGCCAUGCGUGUCCAUGCGUUCAUGCGUGUGCUGUGUGUGUGUGCGCGUGUGUGUGGUUAGGAGUGCAGACCUGGGCAGGACUGACUGGGUCUGGAUCCUGGCUUUGCCACUUCCUGGCUGUGUGACCUUGGGUGAGUGACCCAACUUCUCUGUGCCUCAAGUGUGAGGAGUAAAUGAGUAAAUCAGAGAAAUCCCACAGCACAGUGCCUGAAAUAGAGUUAGUGUUCAACUUUAUCUACUAUGAUUAUUAUUCCAAAAAGGCUGACCAUGAGAUUUCUUUAGGAACGGGCUCUAAACUGGAGGAAAGGGUUUGUGGAUGGGUCUCAGAAGGUCCUAGAAGGGCCUAGAACUGGUUGUAAAGUUUUUGUGGUUGAGUGGGGUGUUUUUCUGGACAAAGCAGGUCCUCAGCUUACAGUGUUCUCAUGACCCCUCAGGUUGUGUCCCUUGCACCAGGGUGGUGGCACCUCCAGUACUUUGGAGGUUUCAUCCCACACAACUUUUUAUUGAUUGAUUUAGUUUUAAUUAAUGAGUUUAUUUUUUAAAGAGAUGGGGGGGGGUCUCACUUUGUUGAUCAGACUGGUCUCAAAUUCCUGGCUUCAAAGCCAUCUUCCUGCUUAGCCUCCCGAAGUGCUGGGGUUACAGGUGUGAGCCACACACAGCUUUUGAGGGGCUGUUGUCACCUGCCCCCGGCUAGUCAGGACAGGACCCAAGUUGUCCUGCAGACCUGCCAUAGUCGCCCACACAUGAGGCCACACAUGCUCAGGGAAAGUGAGCCCCUUCACUCAAGAAUUCUUUAAAGGCUGAGACAGCAACGCACUUUGUAACUAAACCAGCGCCCUUCUCCAGGAUGGGGAGGCGCAAAAGCAGAUUUCAAAGGCGAGCUUUGGAUAAACAAACACAAUAAAAAUAAUGCUUUGAACCCAAAUGCUGAACUGAGCAGCAAUCCCAGGCACAUUCAGCCAGCUGAUGCCAGUCCUCCCUGGCGACCAGACAGGCCCAGGGGGCGUUCCAGGAGCCUCAGUGGUACAGCUGGAGCCUAGGAGACCAAGCACCCACAUCAGCCCGGUCCCCCUAGUGAGCCACCUGGCCCCACCCCACCCUCCAGGCCUAGCUGGGACUCCCGCCAGCUCCAUCCUGUGGCUCCGUCAGGCUGAGAGGGUCUAUUACCCAAACCUCACCUGCUGAAGCUGGGGGCUUCCCCAUCUGGUAUCAGGGAGAUUGUAAGUCUGUGGUGAGGGGCAGUGCCCACCUGGGGAACAUGAGCCUGUUCCUGGGGGGCCACUGCAGCUUGGUGAGUUCCAAUCCUGGUUCUGCUGUGUGGCCUCAGGACAGUGGCUGCACCUCUCUGAGCCUCAUGUGGAACUGGGGAUCAUCACAGUACCUCCUUGGCUCCCUCCUUGGCAGCCCUUGCAAUUAGGGCAGGAGAGAAGCUGUGGGGAGGCCGAGGGGGGGUUGGCGAGCACGCAGAAGGACAUGGAUUCCACUGCGCCAAGGCCAGGCUCUGCGCCUGGACCACCAGAACACCCACACUUGCUGUGUGACACUCUGGGCUCCGGUUUCUCCAUCUAUACAAUUCAGUGGCCUUGAGAGAGCCUUUUAUGAUUUCCUGCUUGGACUGUGAAGUGAGAAGCUAAGUGCAGAAGAGUGUGUACAAUACAGAAUGUAUGUGAAAUCCACACGAAAAUUUGAAAACCACGCAGGCACACGCCUCCUUGUAUGUGCACAGAAUACCUCUGGGAGGUACACAGGAAACUGGGUUUCCCAGUGGGAGGGACCAGGGCUAGGUGAGAGGCCGGGGGGAGGGGCUUUCUUCCCACUGGUUUCUUGUUUGUGCCUUCCAAAUGCUGUACACAAGCAUGUUAUCUACUCAAUACACAGGUGUUUUUUGUUGUUUUUUUUUUGAGGUGGAGUCUCGCUCUGUUGCCCAGGCUGGAGCGUAGUGGCGCAAUCUCGGCUCACUGCAACCUCUGCCUCCCGGGUUCACCCCAUUCUCCUGCCUCAGCCUCCCGAGUAGCUGGGACUAUAGGCGCCUGCCACCAUGCCCAGCUAAUUUUUUGUAUUUUUAGUAGAGACGGGGGUUUCACCGUGUUAGCCAGGAUGGUCUCGAUCUCCUGACCUUGUGAACUGCCCGCCUCAGCCUCCCAAAGUGCUGGGAUUACAGGCAUGAGCCACAGCGCCCGGCAGUGUAGGGGUAUUUUUAAAGGCCUCUCUGGUUGGGCGCAGUGGCUCACGCCUGUAAUCCCAGCACUUUGGGAGGCCGAGGCAGGUGGAUCACUUGAAGUCAGGAGUUCAAGACCAGCCUGGCCAACAUGGUGAAACCCUGUCUCUACUAAAAAUACAAAAAUUUCCAGACGUGGUGGCACACACCUGUAAUCCCAGCUACUUGGGAGGCUGAGACAGGAGAAUCGCUUGAACCCGGAAGGCGGAGGAUGCAGUGAGCUGAGAUUGCAUCACUGCACUCUAGCCUGGGCAACAGUGUGAGACUCCACCUCAAAAAAUAACAAGAAACACCUGUCUCAAAAAUAAAAAUAAAAGUCCUCUCAGAGCUUUGCUGCUCCUGACCUGCCUGAUGCUGGCCUAGCUCCCAGGGAGCUGCCCUGAGGGGUCCUGGGGAGCCACGGCAGGGUUUUGGGGUCAGGCAGGACAAAGCUCACUCCUGACUAUCAUCUCCAGGGAGCUGCCCAUCUGACCAGCCUCGCUCCAGCCCCUCGGCCUCUCUGUCUGGCCGAUUCUUCCAGGAGACCCUCUGCGACCCUCUCACCAGCCCUCCGCCCAGCCGCAGCUCAGCAUCGCCAUAAUUUAGUGUCUGUGUAUGGGGUAGCUACAGUCUGUGGGGCCCAGGGUAAAAUGAAAAGCAGGACCCCUCGUGCCUCAUGUAUUGCAAAUUUCAAGAUGGCAACCACAUAGCAUGAAGCCUGUGCAGGGCCCUUCUAAGCCUGGGGCCCUGUGCGCCUGCAGGGGUCACACAUCUGUGCAGCUGGCCCCAUCUAUAUCUCCCCAAUCCAGACACUGGCUCCCCAGGACAGAGUUUGCCAGGAUAGCCAGCCUGGACGCACUGGCUAUGGCCCUGCUGGGCUAGUGGAAAUCUAGGCCAGCUUCCUGGAGGAAGAAACCUCAGCCUCAGAGGAGGCAGCUGCUCUGUGCUCCCCUGCACAGCUGCCUGAACCUCCCUUUCUUAUAUGAUUUCUUAUCUGGAGCUCAGCUGUGUGACCCUGGUCAAGUUACUUAACCUCUCUGUGGGCUGGUUUCUUGAUCUGCAGGGAUUGGGCCUACUCCCCAGAGAUGUGCCCUCCUUCAAGGGGAGGUAAGCUUUAAGCACGGACGUGUUAGAGCAGCAUCUGCAAAUAGCACUUGCUCGAUAGCUUUCGUCCUGAUUCCUCUGCGAUUUCCUGCUGGACUCUGAGCUUCAUGAGGUCAGGGCCCGGGUUCAUCUUGCUCUCACGGAUUCCUGGCUGCCCUGAUUAACAUGGCCAGAUAAUCCACAUGACCAGAACAGCUGUGGGCUGUGUUAGAAGUUACUAGAAGUUACUUGUGGCCGGCCUGGGGAGGUGACGUCCCCCAGAGAACAUGCUUCGGGUCACUGAGAUGGCUGCAAAGUGUAUGGACCAGGACGUUCCUGUUGGAAGAUUCUUUUGAGGUUUGCUGCGCUCUUCAGCCAUCAGAGAAGUCUUCCCAGAGCCAGGCAGGGGGGCUCCCUGGGAGUUUGGGGGCAUCACUGAAGCCCCCUCAGCUGCCAGGUGCAGUAAAUAAGCCAGGGAAACAUUGGUGGGUGAGUCUUUAAGGGUGCCCGGGCUCCAUGAUGGCAGAGGCAGAGGAGCUGCUCCCGGCUGCCGUGCUUGGGGUCCGAGUCUGACUGGGAGAAUUCCAGAGCCCUAGAGACACCUGGCCCAGCCUG